rnacentral:rRNA from 1 species
GACGAACGCUGGCGGCGUGCUUAACACAUGCCAGUCGAACGGAAAGGCCCUGCUUUUGUGGGGUGCUCGAGUGGCGAACGGGUGAGUAACACGUGAGUAACCUGCCCUUGACUUUGGGAUAACUUCAGGAAACUGGGGCUAAUACCGGAUAGGAGCUCCUGCUGCAUGGUGGGGGUUGGAAAGUUUCGGCGGUUGGGGAUGGACUCGCGGCUUAUCAGCUUGUUGGUGGGGUAGUGGAUUACCAAGGCUUUGACGGGUAGCCGGCCUGAGAGGGUGACCGGCCACAUUGGGACUGAGAUACGGCCCAGACUCCUACGGGAGGCAGCAGUGGGGAAUAUUGCACAAUGGGCGGAAGCCUGAGGCAGCAACGCCGCGUGCGGGAUGACGGCCUUCUGGUUGUAAACCGCUGUCGCCUGUGACGAAGCGUGAGUGACGGUAAUGGGUAAAGAAGCACCGGCUAACUACGUG